AAUUCCAUAAGGAUGAAGGUAUUUUUCCGUUGUGUUCUCUGCUGAAUCCCUGGAGCCUAGCAUGUGUAAGAGGACACAGAAUGCAUAUUCACUGUAGCAUUUAGUCCUGGGCUACUGGGAGAAAAUGCAAUCUCUACGACAAAGCCAGCUCCACCUUCUGUUGGUCCCCUACUGUUGGGCGAAUAGUCCUCCAAAUGCUGGUAGGAAGGGGACUGACUGCUAAGGAAGGAAACCUCAGGCACUUCCCAUAUCUGAAAGGAAGGCACAGGAAAAGCCUCAGGAUGGAACCCAGACUGGAUGAAACCCGGAAGAUUUUGCUAGACAGAAAUUAGAAACGCUCCUACAAAGAAACUGAAGUUCCAUGAACACUCUGUUGCCGCCCUGCAAUUUAGUGUCAUACUCUACUUGUAACUCUAACCUAACAACGUGUCAUCUUUACUUUUUAUGUUAUUUAUUUACAAGUGCAUUUUCAGUAUCAACCCCUUCAUUCAUUAAUCCUAAUGUGGCAUUUUCCAAUGUCUACUUACCAUUUUAAAUACUUACUAUAAUUUACAGGGCUUUCUUGAACACAUCCAAGGUAUAUUAUAUGAGGCUAGCUUAAUGGAAAGUCUUGUAUACCAAAGCAGGAAAAAAAAAAAAAAAACACAUUUAAUUUAUGAUGGCUUUGAAUUUUGAUCAUAAUUUACUCAUGGAGACCUAUUCAUACAAAGCAAUACCAAUACAAUUUUUCAGAAGCAAUGAAAAAAUAAAACAAUAAA